UACGUAGGCAGCGAGCGUUGUUCAGAAUUACUGGGCGUAAAGAGUGUGUAGGCGGUGCUCCCAGUCUGUUGUGAAAUCUCCCGGCUUAACUGGGAGGGUGCAGCGGAAACUAGAGUGCUAGAGGGUGGGAGAGGUAAGCGGAAUUCCUGGUGUAGCGGUGAAAUGCGUAGAUAUCAGGAGGAACACCGAUGGCGAAGGCAGGUCUCUGGGCAUUAACUGACGCUGAGGAGCGAAAGCAUGGGGAGCGAACAGG
rnacentral:rRNA from 1 species